rnacentral:lncRNA from 1 species
AUAAAGGCCUGUCUGGUCCUCCUCCACUUCCCUAAUCCAUCUGUCUCCCUUGCUAUGUCUCUAAACCUUCUCCAGCCAGGACAUCAGAGGUACCCAGACAUUGUUAUGAAACUCCGCAUGUGUCCCUGGUGGACGCUGCUGGACCCAGCAUGCACACUUCUCGGCUAAGAGUCACCCUGGAUGAACCACCAUUGCCAGCGGGGAGCAUGUUGCAGCUUUCCCACGCAGUGGAUGAGAACCAAGGUUACGACCAUUGUGUGGGAGGCGUCUGUGUAGCAAUUGCUGGAAUCACUUGUGGCAUUGUAGAAAGACUGAGCGUGGGAAAGAAGACGCAUUCUGAAGUCACCCCGAUUUGUGUUAAAUUAUCACCUUGACUACUGCUAUAGAACGAAUGUUUAUGUCCCCCACCCAAAUUCGUAUGCUAAGACCUAAUAGCCAAUAAGAUAGUAUUAAUAGAUGGGGCCUUUGGGAGGUGAGUGGCUCCUGAGGGCAGAGUCCUCAAAACCAGAUAAGUGCCCGAAUAAAAGGGGCCCCAGAGAGAUCCCUUGCACCGUCCACCAUGUGAAGUGUAGAACACAGCAAGAAGGCCACCUAUGAGCCAGAACGUGGGCCCUCACGAGAACCCAAUUGUGCUGGCACCCUGAUCCUGGACUUCCAGCCUCCAAAAUGACGACAAAGAAGUUUGUUUUUCCUGAGCCAUCCACUUCAAAGUAUUCUGUCAUAGCUCCCCAAAUAGACU